rnacentral:rRNA from 1 species
CUACGGACGCUGCAGUGAGGAAUAUUGCACAAUGGGGGGAACCCUGAUGCAGCAACGCCGCGUGGAGGAUGACGCAUUUCGGUGUGUAAACUCCUUUUAUAUGUCAAGAAAAUGACGGUAGCAUAUGAAUAAGCACCGGCUAACUCCGUGCCAGCAGCCGCGGUAAUACGGAGGGUGCAAGCGUUACUCGGAAUCACUGGGCGUAAAGGACGCGUAGGCGGGUUGGAAAGUCAGGUGUGAAAUCCUACAGCUUAACUGUAGAACUGCACUUGAAACUUCUAAUCUAGAGUUUGGGAGGGGGAGAUGGAAUUAGUGGUGUAGGGGUAAAAUCCGUAGAUAUCACUAGGAAUACCUAAAGCGAAGGCGAUCUCCUGGAACAUUACUGACGCUAAGGCGUGAAAGCGUGGGGAGCAAACAGGAUUAGAUACCCUAGUAGUC